rnacentral:rRNA from 1 species
AACGUAGGGCGCGAGCGUUGUCCGGAUUUAUUGGGCGUAAAGAGCUCGUAGGCGGCUCGUUGCGUCGGCUGUGAAAACCCGCAGCUCAACUGUGGGCUUGCAGCUGAUACGGGCGGGCUGGGAUUCGGUAGGGGAGACUGGAAUUCCUGGUGUAGCGGUGAAAUGCGCAGAUAUCAGGAGGAACACCGGUGGCGAAGGCGGGUCUCUGGGCAGUAACUGACGCUGAGGAGCGAAAGCGUGGGGAGCGAACAGG